rnacentral:rRNA from 1 species
CAGAGGGUGCAAGCGUUAAUCGGGAUUUACUGGGCGUAAAGCGCGCGUAGGUGGCCAAUUAAGUCAAAUGUGAAAUCCCCGAGCUUAACUUGGGAAUUGCAUUCGAUACUGGUUGGCUAGAGUAUGGGAGAGGAUGGUAGAAUUCCAGGUGUAGCGGUGAAAUGCGUAGAGAUCUGGAGGAAUACCGAUGGCGAAGGCAGCCAUCUGGCCUAAUACUGACACUGAGGUGCGAAAGCAUGGGAGCAAACAGGAUU